rnacentral:rRNA from 1 species
UACGGAGGGUGCAAGCGUUAAUCGGAAUUACUGGGCGUAAAGCGCACGCAGGUGGCUGAGUCAGUCGAUUGUGAAAGCCCUGGGCUUAACCUGGGAAUUGCAGUCGAUACUACUCAGCUAGAGUAUGGGAGAGGGCAGUGGAAUUCCCGGUGUAGCGGUGAAAUGCGUAGAUAUCGGGAGGAACAUCAGUGGCGAAGGCGGCUGCCUGGCCCAAUACUGACACUCAGGUGCGAAAGCGUGGGGAGCAAACAGG